AGUUGAUGCUAUGAUGAUAAUGUUAAUCCCAGCUCAUUAUGAGACCUUCGGUUUCCGGAGGUCAGGGAAAAGAUCCUUUAACGUUCGUCUGAGCACAAGU